GACGAACGCUGGCGGCGUGCUUAACACAUGCAAGUCGAACGGAAAGGCCCUGCUUUUGUGGGGUGCUCGAGUGGCGAACGGGUGAGUAACACGUGAGUAACCUGCCCUUGACUUUGGGAUAACUUCAGGAAACUGGGGCUAAUACCGGAUAGGAGCUCCUGCUGCAUGGUGGGGGUUGGAAAGUUUCGGCGGUUGGGGAUGGACUCGCGGCUUAUCAGCUUGUUGGUGGGGUAGUGGCUUACCAAGGCUUUGACGGGUAGCCGGCCUGAGAGGGUGACCGGCCACAUUGGGACUGAGAUACGGCCCAGACUCCUACGGGAGGCAGCAGGGGGGAAUAUUGCACAAUGGGCGGAAGCCUGAUGCAGCAACGCCGCGUGCGGGAUGACGGCCUUCGGGUUGUAAACCGCUUUCGCCUGUGACGAAGCGUGAGUGACGGUAAUGAGUAAAGAAGCACCGGCUAACUACGUG
rnacentral:rRNA from 1 species